rnacentral:rRNA from 1 species
UGGGGAAUAUUGCACAAUGGGCGAAAGCCUGAUCCAGCCAUGCCGCGUGUGUGAAGAAGGUCUUCGGAUUGUAAAGCACUUUAAGUUGGGAGGAAGGGCAGUUACCUAAUACGUGAUUGUUUUGACGUUACCGACAGAAUAAGCACCGGCUAACUCUGUGCCAGCAGCCGCGGUAAUACAGAGGGUGCAAGCGUUAAUCGGAAUUACUGGGCGUAAAGCGCGCGUAGGUGGUUUGUUAAGUUGGAUGUGAAAUCCCCGGGCUCAACCUGGGAACUGCAUUCAAAACUGACUGACUAGAGUAUGGUAGAGGGUGGUGGAAUUUCCUGUGUAGCGGUGAAAUGCGUAGAUAUAGGAAGGAACACCAGUGGCGAAGGCGACCACCUGGACUAAUACUGACACUGAGGUGCGAAAGCGUGGGGAGCAAACA